GUCACGAGCGAGAUACACGGACCGCACGUCCUCAGCCUCACCUCACGAUUCACAGCAACCAGCAGCCGCUCCUCUUUUCUCUCCCACGCGACGAACCCUAGCCGGCGCCCACCGCUGAGGCCCGAUGCCUCAACCCCCGCGAGCCAUCAGCCCGUGACCGCCGCACCGAGGCGCGCCACGCGCCCCUGCCGGCGCGUGGAGCCGCGCCUAGGACCGGUGAGGCGCUGACGACCAGCAUCAAGCCGCCAAUCGCCGUGCCCCGUCCGUCGCGCCGCGCUGCCAACCUCGACCCUCCCCCAUCGCUUCACCGCUCUUGACGCGGCCAUCCAUGCCGUGCUCCGCCUCGCAAUUCGUCACCACCAUCUAAUCUGCAGUUUCUCACCACCUCGUCCUCUUCCACGUUGGUCGCCGGCUCGGUGCCUACUGUCCUCUUCCCAUGCUUCAUCUCACAACUGAAGAGAAGACAAAGAAGAAAGAUAGAACAACGAGGAUAGUGAUGGUCAAGUUGUAUAAGUGGCGUCAUUGGGAUUAAAAAUUCUGGAAAGAGGAUGUUAAGUGUGCGGCCAGAAAUCUGUAUAUAUUGUAUGGCUUGGUCAUGGUUAACCUCAUUUGAUUAACGAAAAA